AACAUCGUAAGGUACGGUGUACUUAAGCUGAAUACGAAAUAUGGUAAGGUACCAAAUACUUAAGUGAUUUUGGCAUAUUAUGAGAUAUAGGCCAAAAUGCACUUAAGUGGGCUUUUUGGCUUGAAGCCCACACAAGUGGUUCUAUAAAUAGAGCUCUUGUGCAGAAGCUUUGUAAGGGAAUACAACACAACUGAAGAGUUGGAAUUUCG
rnacentral:lncRNA from 1 species